CGGCGAGUGAAGAGGAAAAAGCUCAAAGUUGGAACCUGUUUGGCUUAGCCAGACCGGAUUGUAAACUGUAGAAGUGUUUUCCAGACACGCCUGGUAAAAAAGUCCUUUGGAACAGGGCAUCAUAGAGGGUGAGAAUCCCGUCUUUGGCCAGAGCAGUUGUCUUUUUGUGAUACACUUUCAAAGAGUCAGGUUGUUUGGGAAUGCAGCCUAAAUUGGGUGGUAAAUCUCACCUAAAGCUAAAUAUUUGCGAGAGACCGAUAGCGAACAAGUACCGUGAGGGAAAGAUGAAAAGAACUUUGAAAAGAGAGUUAAACAGUAUGUGAAAUUGUUAAAAGGGAACCGUUUGGAGCCAGACUGGCUUGACUGUAAUCAAUCUAGGCUUUGGCCUGGAUGCACUUGCGGUUUAUGCCUGCCAACGACAAUUUUUUUUGAGGGAAAAAACUAGGAGGAAUGUGGCCCGGCCUUUGUGUUGGGUGUUAUAGCCUUUUAGAAAAUACCUUGAAUUGGAUUGAGGAACGCAGUGAAUGCCUUUUAGGCAAAAUUGCUGGGUGCUUUCGCCAAUAGAUGCUAGAAUUUCUGCCUUGGGUGGUGCUAGUGUUUAACGGAGAGACUCGCCUAGUAUAUUUUUUAUUCGCUUAGGUUGUUGGCUUAAUGACUCUAAAUGAC
rnacentral:rRNA from 1 species